rnacentral:rRNA from 1 species
UACGGGGGGAGCAAGCGUUGUUCGGAUUUACUGGGCGUAAAGGGCGCGUAGGCGGCCACCGCAAGUCAAUUGUGAAAUCUCCGGGCUUAACUCGGAAAGGUCAACUGAUACUGCGGGGCUAGAGUGCGGAAGGGGCAACUGGAAUUCUCGGUGUAGCGGUGAAAUGCGUAGAUAUCGAGAGGAACACCGGUGGCGAAGGCGGGUCUCUGGGCCGAUACUGACGCUGAGGAGCGAAAGCGUGGGGAGCGAACAGG